CCGUACACAAAAGCGCAUGUGCUGUGAGCUCGAUGAGUAGGGCGGGACACGUGGUAUCCUGUCUGAAUAUGGGGGGACCAUCCUCCAAGGCUAAAUACUCCUGACUGACCGAUAGUGAACCAGUACCGUGAGGGAAAGGCGAAAAGAACCCCGGCGAGGGGAGUGAAAAAGAACCUGAAACCGUGUACGUACAAGCAGUGGGAGCACAGGUUUACCUGUGUGACUGCGUACCUUUUGUAUAAUGGGUCAGCGACUUAUAUUCUGUAGCAAGGUUAACCGUAUAGGGGAGCCGGAGGGAAACCGAGUCUUAAUUGGGCGUUAAGUUGCAGGGUAUAGACCCGAAACCCGGUGAUCUAGCCAUGGGCAGGUUGAAGGUUGGGUAACACUAACUGGAGGACCGAACCGACUAAUGUUGAAAAAUUAGCGGAUGACCUGUGGCUGGGGGUGAAAGGCCAAUCAAACCGGGAGAUAGCUGGUUCUCCCCGAAAGCUAUUUAGGUAGCGCCUCGUGAAUUCAUCUCCGGGGGUAGAGCACUGUUUCGGCUAGGGGGCCAUCCCGGCUUACCAACCCGAUGCAAACUGCGAAUACCGGAGAAUGUUAUCACGGGAGACACACGGCGGGUGCUAACGUCCGUCGUGAAGAGGGAAACAACCCAGACCGCCAGCUAAGGUCCCAAAGUCAUGGUUAAGUGGGAAACGAUGUGGGAAGGCCCAGACAGCCAGGAUGUUGGCUUAGAAGCAGCCAUCAUUUAAAGAAAGCGUAAUAGCUCACUGGUCGAGUCGGCCUGCGCGGAAGAUGUAACGGGGCUAAACCAUGCACCGAAGCUGCGGCAGCGAACGUAUCACCCAAGACAACUUUACGGAGUUGACGAUUGACGGAGCGAAGCGACGUCAAAGCGUUCAUUAAAGUCGAGUUGGCUUAGGGAUACGUUCGUUGGGUAGGGGAGCGUUCUGUAAGCCUGUGAAGGUGUGUCGUGAGGCAUGCUGGAGGUAUCAGAAGUGCGAAUGCUGACAUAAGUAACGAUAAAGCGGGUGAAAAGCCCGCUCGCCGGAAGACCAAGGGUUCCUGUCCAACGUUAAUCGGGGCAGGGUGAGUCGACCCCUAAGGCGAGGCCGAAAGGCGUAGUCGAUGGGAAACGGGUUAAUAUUCCCGUACUUGGUGUUACUGCGAAGGGGGGACGGAGAAGGCUAUGUUGGCCGGGCGACGGUUGUCC
rnacentral:rRNA from 1 species